AUGACGUCUUCAAGCGCCCCCAAGGACAAAUUUUUCGAGAAGGUCAUCAACCCCUACCUCGUGGAGGUGCUGCAACACCCUCAAACCAUUGAGAUGCGUGAGGGGGUGCUGCACAUCCGCGAUGUUGGGGGACCAAGGAGGACCGGAAGCGUGGAGACAAGACUCGAAGCAAUGGAGCAACAAGUUUUGAAGUGCCAGGGGAUGGUGGAAUGCGGACUCAACGCCAACCACAUGAUGAUCGCGGAGUUCACCAACAACCACAAGCUGGAUGCCAAGAACAUUGGGGAGACCAUCUCCAAGCUUCACGAGAAAAUCGAGCACUUCCAAGCCCAGAUCUAUGACCUGCAAAACCAAAACUGUGAGUAUGAAUAUAGAUUCAAGAGGAUGAGUUUGGCUGCAGAUUUGAGGAUCUCGGAGACUCGAUCAUCCUUCUAUGAUGGUGAGCCUAUGCCUUGGAAGAUGGACGACAAGCCUAUAUCAUCAACAACUCCAUCAUCACCACCUCUGAAGAAAGAGACAUAA
rnacentral:rRNA from 1 species